ensembl:lincRNA Gm19585 predicted gene, 19585
UGUUGACUUUUGACAUCAAACUCUUCAGUCCAGCUGCACUCUAUUGAGUGUGAACGAUCUUACUCAAUAGUACCCAAACUGGUCAAGGUUCCUGUAAAGAGAAGACCAAACUUCAGGCAAGAAUAGAGUUUGGAGAUGGACUUGCUUACCCGUCUAAAGGAUGUGGAAUUGGAGAAUAAGUGAGCUAAUCUUGGAAGAAUUUUGCAGAAAAACAGGACAUUUCUCCAUGGAUCCAGAGGAAGUGGUAACUGAGGGUUUGAGCUCUAUAGGGAUCUGGCUUCUUCAUGGGUAUUCCUAGUGGAUGGCCUCAAGUCUACAAUAGAGACUGCUUGGCUGUCUGCAGUGGAAAAGACCUUCAAGUUGACUGUGAGUGGGUGCGACUCAUCAAGAAAAAUAACCUCACCACCACAACAACACAUGAUGGGAGAGACCGAAACUUCUUUGGGAGAACAUAAGGGGAAAAAAAAAAGAAAAAGUGAAGUCUAAAUAUUAUUAAACACAUGAAAGCAGAGUCAUUUACUUAUUAGGAAGGCGCUCAUUCACACACAGGUAGACUUGUGGUCCCUUAGAAGUACGUAAACACAACC